CCUACGGGUGGCAGCAGUGAGGAAUAUUGGUCAAUGGCCGGAAGGCUGAACCAGCCAAGCCGCGUGAAGGACGAAGGUGCCAAGCAUUGUAAACUUCUUUUGUCAAGGGACAAAAUCAUGCUCGAGAGCCUGACCGAGGGUACUUGAAGUAAAAGCAUCGGCUAACUCCAGGCCAGCAGCCGCGGUACUACGGAGGAUGCGAUCGUUAUCCUGAUUUAGUGGGUUAAACGUGUGCGGAGGCGGGCUGUUAAGUCAGCGGUAAAAGCCCGGGGCUCAACCUCGGCGAGCCGUUGAAACUGGCUGUCUUGAGAUGUCUAGGGGUAUGCGGAAUGCGCAGUGUAGCGGUGAAAUGCGUAGAGAUUGCGCAGAACUCCGAUUGCGAAGGCAGCAUACCGGCGGCGAUCUGACGCUGAGGCACGAAAGCGUGGGUAUCGAACAGGAUUAGAUACCCCUGUAGUC
rnacentral:rRNA from 1 species